rnacentral:rRNA from 1 species
GGGUUGUGAGGUUAAGCGACUAAGCGUACACGGUGGAUGCCCUGGCAGUCAGAGGCGAUGAAGGACGUGCUAAUCUGCGAUAAGCGCCGGUAAGGUGAUAUGAACCGUUAUAACCGGCGAUUUCCGAAUGGGGAAACCCAGUGUGAUUCGUCACACUAUCAUUAACUGAAUCCAUAGGUUAAUGAGGCGAACCGGGGGAACUGAAACAUCUAAGUACCCCGAGGAAAAGAAAUCAACCGAGAUUCCCCCAGUAGCGGCGAGCGAACGGGGAGGAGCCCAGAGCCUGAAUCAGCAUGUGUGUUAGUGGAAGCGUCUGGAAAGGCGCGCGAUACAGGGUGACAGCCCCGUACACAAAAGCGCAUGUGCUGUGAGCUCGAUGAGUAGGGCGGGACACGUGGUAUCCUGUCUGAAUAUGGGGGGACCAUCCUCCAAGGCUAAAUACUCCUGACUGACCGAUAGUGAACCAGUACCGUGAGGGAAAGGCGAAAAGAACCCCGGCGAGGGGAGUGAAAAAGAACCUGAAACCGUGUACGUACAAGCAGUGGGAGCACAGGUUUACCUGUGUGACUGCGUACCUUUUGUAUAAUGGGUCAGCGACUUAUAUUCUGUAGCAAGGUUAACCGUAUAGGGGAGCCGUAGGGAAACCGAGUCUUAACCGGGCGUUAAGUUGCAGGGUAUAGACCCGAAACCCGGUGAUCUAGCCAUGGGCAGGUUGAAGGUUGGGUAACACUAACUGGAGGACCGAACCGACUAAUGUUGAAAAAUUAGCGGAUGACCUGUGGCUGGGGGUGAAAGGCCAAUCAAACCGGGAGAUAGCUGGUUCUCCCCGAAAGCUAUUUAGGUAGCGCCUCGUGAAUUCAUCUCCGGGGGUAGAGCACUGUUUCGGCUAGGGGGCCAUCCCGGCUUACCAACCCGAUGCAAACUGCGAAUACCGGAGAAUGUUAUCACGGGAGACACACGGCGGGUGCUAACGUCCGUCGUGAAGAGGGAAACAACCCAGACCGCCAGCUAAGGUCCCAAAGUCAUGGUUAAGUGGGAAACGAUGUGGGAAGGCCCAGACAGCCAGGAUGUUGGCUUAGAAGCAGCCAUCAUUUAAAGAAAGCGUAAUAGCUCACUGGUCGAGUCGGCCUGCGCGGAAGAUGUAACGGGGCUAAACCAUGCACCGAAGCUGCGGCAGCGAACGUAUCACCCAAGACAACUUUACGGAGUUGACGAUUGACGGAGCGAAGCGACGUCAAAGCGUUCAUUAAAGUCGAGUUGGCUUAGGGAUACGUUCGUUGGGUAGGGGAGCGUUCUGUAAGCCUGUGAAGGUGUGUCGUGAGGCAUGCUGGAGGUAUCAGAAGUGCGAAUGCUGACAUAAGUAACGAUAAAGCGGGUGAAAAGCCCGCUCGCCGGAAGACCAAGGGUUCCUGUCCAACGUUAAUCGGGGCAGGGUGAGUCGACCCCUAAGGCGAGGCCGAAAGGCGUAGUCGAUGGGAAACGGGUUAAUAUUCCCGUACUUGGUGUUACUGCGAAGGGGGGACGGAGAAGGCUAUGUUGGCCGGGCGACGGUUGUCCCGGUUUAAGCGUGUAGGUGUGUGUUCCAGGUAAAUCCGGUUCACUUUAACACUGAGGCGUGACGACGAGGCACUACGGUGCUGAAGCAACAAAUGCCCUGCUUCCAGGAAAAGCCUCUAAGCAUCAGGUAACACGAAAUCGUACCCCAAACCGACACAGGUGGUCAGGUAGAGAAUACCAAGGCGCUUGAGAGAACUCGGGUGAAGGAACUAGGCAAAAUGGUGCCGUAACUUCGGGAGAAGGCACGCUGACACGUAGGUGAAGUGAUUUACUCAUGGAGCUGAAGUCAGUCGAAGAUACCAGCUGGCUGCAACUGUUUAUUAAAAACACAGCACUGUGCAAACACGAAAGUGGACGUAUACGGUGUGACGCCUGCCCGGUGCCGGAAGGUUAAUUGAUGGGGUCAGCGCAAGCGAAGCUCCUGAUCGAAGCCCCGGUAAACGGCGGCCGUAACUAUAACGGUCCUAAGGUAGCGAAAUUCCUUGUCGGGUAAGUUCCGACCUGCACGAAUGGCGUAAUGAUGGCCAGGCUGUCUCCACCCGAGACUCAGUGAAAUUGAACUCGCUGUGAAGAUGCAGUGUACCCGCGGCAAGACGGAAAGACCCCGUGAACCUUUACUAUAGCUUGACACUGAACAUUGAGCCUUGAUGUGUAGGAUAGGUGGGAGGCUUUGAAGUGUGGACGCCAGUCUGCAUGGAGCCGACCUUGAAAUACCACCCUUUAAUGUUUGAUGUUCUAACGUGGACCCGUAAUCCGGGUUGCGGACAGUGUCUGGUGGGUAGUUUGACUGGGGCGGUCUCCUCCUAAAGAGUAACGGAGGAGCACGAAGGUUGGCUAAUCCUGGUCGGACAUCAGGAGGUUAGUGCAAUGGCAUAAGCCAGCUUGACUGCGAGCGUGACGGCGCGAGCAGGUGCGAAAGCAGGUCAUAGUGAUCCGGUGGUUCUGAAUGGAAGGGCCAUCGCUCAACGGAUAAAAGGUACUCCGGGGAUAACAGGCUGAUACCGCCCAAGAGUUCAUAUCGACGGCGGUGUUUGGCACCUCGAUGUCGGCUCAUCACAUCCUGGGGCUGAAGUAGGUCCCAAGGGUAUGGCUGUUCGCCAUUUAAAGUGGUACGCGAGCUGGGUUUAGAACGUCGUGAGACAGUUCGGUCCCUAUCUGCCGUGGGCGCUGGAGAACUGAGGGGGGCUGCUCCUAGUACGAGAGGACCGGAGUGGACGCAUCACUGGUGUUCGGGUUGUCAUGCCAAUGGCACUGCCCGGUAGCUAAAUGCGGAAGAGAUAAGUGCUGAAAGCAUCUAAGCACGAAACUUGCCCCGAGAUGAGUUCUCCCUGAGACUUAGAGUCUCCUGAAGGAACGUUGAAG